UUUAACAGUUCUUGUGUGAAAAUGUCUAAAGUCCAAAUGUUGAGAGCGUUGGUGAAGCAGCGACUAACUGCAGCUGCUGAAGAGAUAUUUGGGCUGUUUGAAAGAACCAUAGCAGAGUACGAGGAGGAACUUUGUCGUUCCAAAGAGGAGAACCACCGACAGCGACACCUGCUGGACACCGUCUUUAACCCGGACGUUCACUUACAGGCAGCAGAUGUGCAGCAGUUGUUAAUGAGGAAAGACCAGAUUCCUGUUCAGGAGCUCUGGAUUCCU